rnacentral:rRNA from 1 species
AUUGAACGCUGGCGGCAGACCUAACACAUGCAAGUCGAGCGAGCGGCGGACGGGUGAGUACUGUAUGGGGACUGCCCGAUAGAGGGGGAUCACUACUGGAAACGGUGGCUAAUACCGCAUACUAUCGGAUAACCCAUAUGGGAUUAGCUAGUAGGUGGGGUAAAGGCUCACCUAGGCGACGCUUGCUAGCUGGUCUGAGAGGAUGAUCAGCCAAACUGGUACGGAGACACGGCCCAGAGUCCAAGGGAGGCAGCAGUGGGGAAUAUUGCACAAUGGGCGCAAGCCUGAUGCAGCCAUGCCGCGUGUAUGAAGAAGGCCUUAGGGUUGUAAAGUACUUUCAGCGGGGAGGCGUUACCCGAAGAAGAAGCACCGGCUAACUCCGUGCCAGCCGCCGCGGUAAUUC